AUGACCUGUGGAAAUUAAAGUAUUUUCAUUAAAAUAACUGCGAUGAAGGACAUCGUGCAGUCUAAGAACACUCAACUGAGAUGAAAGAGAAUGCAUUCAUACGCCCACAGAUUGAUUCUGACCUUUCAUUCACAGGAUCACAGGACAGUUCAUGGUAGAAAGGGUCAGAAUUACGGCCUGUAGCAGAAAUGCUAUAUCACAACAUGAAGCAGUGAUGGAGCACCUGGUAGGAAGGCAGGGCCAACCCAGGGGAGCUCAGCUGCAUGCAAUAUUGCUAAGUGAUAAAGCGGUGGAGCCAAGAUCCAGCCCUCAUUUAAGGGCUGGCAGAGGAAGUGAGAGUAUCUCUCUGGAGAUCCCUAUGUACCUGAGGCCUUCUGAAGCAGGGGAAGGGCAUCUGUCAGGAGGGUCAUCCAGAAGGAGCAAGGGGCAAUGUGAGCAGUCAUCAGCAUCAAAAGCAGCCUGGCAGCUUCAGAGAACCGCUUCUCCCCAUACAGACGGUGGAAUUCACGGUACUUGCCUACGUGUGGGUGUUGGAAGGGUAAAAGGUAUUUGUCAGAACAGUGCAAGCUGGGAUUGAUGGAUGCUAAGAAGUCAGUUUGCUCUCAUGAAGCAGUAGUUGCAUUUGAAAUGUCUUAAUUUGUGUACCUAAAUAAAGGAAAAGGAUUCCAAGACAACCAAUCAAAGAUGCAGCUGCAAUUUUUCCUCCACAAGGAGAUCACCGCAACAGAGGAAAACCUGCAGGAAAGGUCUCCAAAGACUUCUCU